rnacentral:rRNA from 1 species
GACAGAGGGUGCAAACGUUGUUCGGAAUUACUGGGCGUAAAGCGCGUGUAGGCUGCUUCGAAAGUCGGGUGCGAAAGCCCUGGGCUCAACCUAGGAAGUGCACUCGAAACUUCGAAGCUGGAGUCUUGGAGAGGAAGGCGGAAUUCUCGGUGUAGAGGUGAAAUUCGUAGAUAUCGAGAGGAACACCGGUGGCGAAGGCGGCCUUCUGGACAAUGACUGACGCUGAGACGCGAAAGCGUGGGGAGCAAACAGG